AGAUAUUGUUUGCAGGUUUCGAAGGAGAAACAGGUCCCUUAAGGAUGAGAGCGAAUCAGAAGAAAACAGACAAAAAAGGAUUUAGGAUUUGCUCCAGAAGCUCAUUUCUGGAUUGACUGUCGCACCAAGGUUUCGCGAACGGCGGAAAGCGCCUGCCGGUGUGCCGAAGAGUGGAGAGGUCAGUUGUGCCAAGGAGUGGAGAGGUCUAGGAACUUUCCAGGAGCACGGAGGGUUUAUGCAGUCAUAAAUCGCCUUGCUUCUGCAUACUUCUUAUUCCGUGGAGGAUUCCGCCCGGGAGGUGGCGCCAUAAACGCAGGAAAACAAGCUCCGUUUUGCUUUCAAUAUUGAUGCAUUUCUGCUCUAAGGCCUUGACCUGGGUGGCUGUGUCAAGAGAUGAAAGACAAAAUGAAAGAGGUCGGGGAAGCACAGACUGGCAGGAUUCCAAAACCCGAAAAACAAGCAAGGCACCAAAUUAAGCCCAAUCACAUUGGUUACAUUUCCCAGUAUUAUCGAAGAUCAAGCAAGAAAAAAGACAGAAAACAAAUGCGAAA
rnacentral:lncRNA from 1 species